rnacentral:rRNA from 1 species
AUUGAACGCUGGCGGCAUGCCUUACACAUGCAAGUCGAACGGUAACAGGUCUUCGGAUGCUGACGAGUGGCGAACGGGUGAGUAAUACAUCGGAACGUGCCUAGUAGUGGGGGAUAACUACUCGAAAGAGUGGCUAUUACCGCAUGAGAUCUACGGAUGAAAGCAGGGGAUCGCAAGACCUUGUGCUACUAGAGCGGCCGAUGGCAGAUUAGGUAGUUGGUGGGAUAAAAGCUUACCAAGCCGACGAUCUGUAGCUGGUCUGAGAGGACGAUCAGCCACACUGGGACUGAGACACGGCCCAGACUCCUACGGGAGGCAGCAGUGGGGAAUUUUGGACAAUGGGCGAAAGCCUGAUCCAGCAAUGCCGCGUGCAGGAUGAAGGCCUUCGGGUUGUAAACUGCUUUUGUACGGAACGAAAAGCUCUGGGUUAAUACCCUGGGGUCAUGACGGUACCGUAAGAAUAAGCACCGGCUAACUACGUGCCAGCAGCCGCGGUAACAC